UAGGGAAUCUUCCACAAUGGACGAAAGUCUGAUGGAGCAACGCCGCGUGAGUGAAGAAGGGUUUCGGCUCGUAAAACUCUGUUGUUAAAGAAGAACAUAUCUGAGAGUAACUGUUCAGGUAUUGACGGUAUUUAACCAGAAAGCCACGGCUAACUACGUGCCAGCAG
rnacentral:rRNA from 1 species